rnacentral:rRNA from 1 species
UACGUAGGCAGCGAGCGUUGUUCGGAAUUAUUGGGCGUAAAGAGCGUGUAGGCGGCCAAGCAGGUCCGCUGUGAAAACUCGAGGCUCAACCUCGAGACGUCGGUGGAAACCGUUUGGCUAGAGUCCGGAAGAGGAGAGUGGAAUUCCCGGUGUAGCGGUGAAAUGCGCAGAUAUCGGGAAGAACACCCGUGGCGAAGGCGGCUCUCUGGGACGGUACUGACGCUGAGACGCGAAAGCGUGGGGAGCGAACAGG